rnacentral:rRNA from 1 species
CCUACGGGAGGCAGCAGUGAGGAAUAUUGGUCAAUGGGCGCGAGCCUGAACCAGCCAAGUCGCGUGAGGGAAGACGGUCCUAUGGAUUGUAAACCUCUUUUGUCGGGGAGCAAAAGACGCCACGCGUGGCGUUCCGAGAGUACCCGAAGAAAAAGCAUCGGCUAACUCCGUGCCAGCAGCCGCGGUAAUACGGGGGAUGCGAGCGUUAUCCGGAUUUAUUGGGUUAAACGGGUGCGCAGGCGGAAGGUCAAGUCAGCGGUAAAAUUGAGAGGCUCAACCUCUUCGAGCCGUUGAAACUGGUGUUCUUGAGUGAGUGAGAGGUAUGCGGAAUGCGUGGUGUAGCGGUGAAAUGCAUAGAUAUCACGCAGAACUCCGAUUGCGAAGGCAGCAUACCGGCGCUCAACUGACGCUCAUGCACGAAAGUGUGGGUAUCGAACAGGAUUAGAUACCCGUGUAGUC